rnacentral:lncRNA from 1 species
GAUAUAUAUUCUUUGUGUGUCAGUAUAUAUGGAAUUUGAAAUCAGAUUGCAAACGUGGACGAAAUGCCGCCGGCGUGCUAACCAAUCUGCCGCUCACCGUCUUAUUAACAUGAAUAAUGGUUACUCAACAUAGUCCACAGGUAGAUGUAGAGAUUAGGGUUAUAAAUCGACAUAUUAUACUUUUUUGGAAUGAGAAUGAUCCCGGAAUUGAAAAUCUGCCUGUCAGUCGGUUUUUGAACAUCUAGUAUUGAGAUCUGAUUCGAAAGCAUUUGAGUUGUAACUUCUACCAGUUCGUUUGGGAGCGCUACUGGUACCUUGUAAACUGAUGCAGGAUCUGUUUGUCGGCGACUAGACUGGCGACCCUACCAUGUUUGCUUGGUAUGGAAAGUGAUUUAGGACAGACCACAGCAUAAGCAACAAUGUUUGUCAAAAACUAGCAAAA